AGGGUGUGCUCAGAGCAACAACCCUGAAGAGCGCUCCUCUGUUCACAGCACACCCAGCAGGGAUCUGGGUCCUUUUGUAAGGAGGGGCACAGAACUGUGGCUUCCCUACACAUACAGCCCUGCACCU
ensembl:snoRNA